rnacentral:rRNA from 1 species
UACGGGGGGGGCAAGCGUUGUUCGGAAUUACUGGGCGUAAAGGGCUCGUAGGCGGCCAACUAAGUCAGACGUGAAAUCCCUAGGCUCAACCUAGGAACUGCGUCUGAUACUGGAUGGCUUGAAUCCGGGAGAGGGAUGCAGAAUUCCAGGUGUAGCGGUGAAAUGCGUAGAGAUCAUGAGGAAGACCAGUGGCGAAGGCGGGUCUCUGGACAGUUCCUGACACUGAGGCACGAAGGCCAGGGGAGCAAACGGG